rnacentral:rRNA from 1 species
UACAGAGGUGGCAAGCGUUGUUCGGAAUUAUUGGGCGUAAAGGGCGCGUAGGCGGCUUUGCAAGUGACGGGUGAAAUCCCUCGGCUUAACCGAGGAACUGCCUGUCAGACUGCAUGGCUUGAGACCAGGAGAGGUGAGUGGAAUUCCCAGUGUAGCGGUGAAAUGCGUAGAUAUUGGGAGGAACACCAAUGGCGAAGGCAGCUCGCUGGGACGUUACUGACGCUGAGACGCGAAAGCGUGGGGAGCAAACAGG